rnacentral:rRNA from 1 species
AUACAGAGGGAGCAAGCGGUAAUCGUAUUUACUUUGCGUAAAGCGCGCGUAGGUGGCUAAUUAAGUCAAAUGUGAAAUCCCCGAGCUUAACUUGGGAAUUACAUUCGAUACUGGUUAGCUAGAUUAUGGGAAAGGAUGGUAGAAUUCCAGUUGUAGCUGUGAAAUGCGUAGAGAUCUGGAGGAAUAACGAUGGCGAAGGCAGCCAUCUGGCCUAAUACUGACACUGAGGUGCGAAAGCAUGGGGAGAAAACAGGAUUAGAUACCCUGGUAGUCCAUGCCGUAAACGAUGUCUACUAGCCGUUGGGGCCCUUGAGGCUUUAGUGGAGCAGCUAACGCGAUAAGUAGACCGCCUGGGGAGUACGGUCGCAAGACUAAAACUCAAAUGAAUUGACGGGG